UACAGAGGUCUCAAGCGUUGUUCGGAUUCAUUGGGCGUAAAGGGUGCGUAGGCGGCGUGGUAAGUCGGGUGUGAAAUCUCGGAGCUUAACUCCGAAAUUGCAUUCGAUACUGCCGUGCUUGAGGACUGGAGAGGAGACUGGAAUUUACGGUGUAGCAGUGAAAUGCGUAGAGAUCGUAAGGAAGACCAGUGGCGAAGGCGGCUACCUGGACCGGUUCUGACGCUGAGGCGCGAAAGCGUGGGUAGCAAACAGG
rnacentral:rRNA from 1 species